ensembl:lncRNA
AGCAUAAUCGCACCGACCAAAGACGACAGCAAUAAUGUAUUUUGAGACAAAGAAACUCUUGAAACUAAAAGAAGUUUAAGAGGACUUUUACACCAAAGUCUUAGACAUGUUUUUCCAGAAGACUUUUUGUAGUCGAUCGCCACCGAGCUAAAAACUGAUGACAACUAACGAUUGCGCAAAAUCGAACUGUUAUUUCACCGCGCUGAUAUGAACGCUCAGGUUGAUGUAAACAGUAUUAUAAAAGAAUAUACGAUAUGGGAUAUGAAACAUAAGCAGUAGUCGAAGGGUAAGCAGCCAGUUGAAUGGUGAAUUUAUGCUACUUUGUUAAAUUCAUAUAUUUGUGAAUAUGAGUCAGUGACUCCCCAGCAACGAACCUCACUGUCCACAGUCAAGCGUAUUUUGCAUCUCCAUG